rnacentral:rRNA from 1 species
UACAGAGGUCCCAAGCGUUGUUCGGAUUCAUUGGGCGUAAAGGGUGCGUAGGUGGCGCCGUAAGUCGGGUGUGAAAUCUCGGGCUUAACUCCGAAACUGCAUUCGAUACUGCGGUGCUUGAGGACUGGAGAGGAGACUGGAAUUUACGGUGUAGCAGUGAAAUGCGUAGAGAUCGUAAGGAAGACCAGUGGCGAAGGCGGGUCUCUGGACAGUUCCUGACACUGAGGCACGAAGGCCAGGGAGCAAACGGG